AUUGAACGCUGGCGGCAUGCUUUACACAUGCAAGUCGAACGGUAACAGGCCGCAAGGUGCUGACGCGUGGCGAACGGGCGGGUAAUGCACCCGAACGUGCCCAGCCGUGGGGGAUAACUACACGACAGAGUAGCUAAUCCCGCACCCGAUCUAUGCAUGAACGCGGGGGACCGUAAGGCCUCGCGCGAUCGGAGCGGCCGAUGUUCGAGUAGGUAGUUGGUGGGGUAAAGGCUCAGCCAGACCACGACCUGUAGCUGAUGUGAGAGGACGAGCGGCGACACGAGGACUGAGACACGGCCCAGACGCCUGCGGGAGGCAGCAGUGGGGAAUGGGAGGCAGAGGGGGCAAGCCUGAUCCAGCGAGGGCGCGUGCAGGAAGAAGGCCUUCGGGUUGUAAACUGCUUUUGUACGUAACAAAACGGCUCUGGUUAAUACCCGGGGCUAAUGACGGUACCGGAAGAAUAAGCACCGGCUAACUACGUG
rnacentral:rRNA from 1 species